GGGGACUGUGGCAUAAGACAAGGAAAAGGCAUCCAACUAUGAAUUUUUCAAGUGAUGUGAUUUAUUCAUGUCAAAGAGUAAAAGGCAUGUCAGGCUAUUUGUUUCUUUCUUGCAUUAUACCAUGAGCAAUCUAUGAAUGCUUGUAAAACCAAUUUGCUGAAAAGACCUUCUGUUUGGUUCUCCAUUCAUAAAUUUAUCAAAAUUCUUUUCUUUCAAUCAGGAAAAUAAUUUUGUUGACUACUUUGCUCUUAAGUGCCUCAGUUCUACGCUAACACAACCCCAGAAUUGAUUUAAGAAAAUCAUUUACCACUUGAAACUUUACCUAUCAUCCAAGCAGGUCAAUCAAAGUUUUCACUGAUGAUCAUGUAUGCAUGCCAACAACAAAAUACUUCCAUAAAAUUUCUUUGAAUCCAAGUCAUUCAAAUGCAACUUAUGUUUUAC
rnacentral:misc_RNA from 1 species